GCACAAGCGGUGGAGUAUGUGGUUUAAUUCGAUGCAACGCGAAGAAACCUUACCUAGGUUUGACAUCCGGAAGACCUUACCCGAAAGGAAGGGUGCCCUUCGGGGAAUUCCGAGACAGGUGCUGCAUGGCUGUCGUCAGCUCGUGCCGUGAGGUGUUGGGUAAGUCCCGCAACGAGCGCAACCCUAUUGCCAGUUGCUACCAGGUAAUGCUGGGCACUCUGGUGAGACUGCCCCGGUUAACGGGGAGGAAGGUGGGACGACGUCAAGUCAUCAUGGCCCUUACGCCUAGGGCUACACACGUACUACAAUGGCGCAUACAAAGGGCAGCGAUACCGCGAGGUGGAGCCAAUCCCAAAAAGUGCGUCCCAGUCCGGAUUGCAGUCUGCAACUCGACUGCAUGAAGUUGGAAUCGCUAGUAAUUCGAGAUCAGCAUGCUCGGGUGAAUGCGUUCCCGGGCCUU
rnacentral:rRNA from 1 species